ensembl:lncRNA
GUGUCAGGAAUAGAAAUAUUGUCCUGCUAUUAGUUGCUGCUAUUUUAUAAUCAUCAUUAACAUUUCAUGUUAAUAGGGAUGUUGCAUUCAGAUGCACUCAGAUGUUCAAAAUAUAUUGGUAUUAUAUUAGUCUUUAUUACAGGUUCAGUUAUAAUCAGUUGAAUCUAUAAUUUAAAGGUUUCUGAAUGUUUUAUAUUCUUACACAUAGUCUUCAGUGGGGGAGAAGCUGAUUGCAGGCUGACAGGAAACGGUGUGCUUUUGCAAAAGUGAAACCAAAACCAGAGUUUUGAUGAUGCUAUUAUCAUCUUUUAUGCAUUUAUACGUCUGAUUAAGCUUUGAUUAAGUUUUAAGUAGUUGUAGUAGAUUGAAAUAUUUGUUUUAUACAUUUUACAUAGAAGUUAAGAUCAUCACAACACAGGAUGGCCUUAGCCUGGUUGCCUACGUGAGGUCAACUAAGGUUCAGAAAGCAGAUGCACACUCUGUGCACGCGCAGAGACAUACACACACACUGUUAGGGUGUAGGUGAGAGUUGACUGAUGAAGCAGUAGAUGCACGAUGCGAGAGCUGAGCUGGCUUACGGGAAACCACCGGGGAGAAGAUGGAAGCCAGUGUACUUUUAAUUGUGAGAGUUGACUGAUGAAGCAGUAGAUGCACGAUGCGAGAGCUGAGCUGGCUUACGGGAAACCACCGGGAGAAGAUGGAAGCCAGUGUACUUUUAAUUGUGCCUUAAGCUGUCAAAUAGAACAUUUGUGGUUUUGAAGCUGAUGUAUGUGAUGACGCAAUGAGGGGGCGUCACUAAAUAUACUCUGAUGCAUAUAAAACUGUAUUUUGAUGUUAGGAGGAUGAGAUUGUGGGGCUGUCUGCUUACGGAGUCCGCUCAUUCUCCCACGCGUGUCAUUUCAUUAAAAUCAUCGUCUUUACCCUUUGGACCAGUGUGGUUACUUGCAUUCCUCCUGUGUUUCCUUCCCUAUAUUUUUGAACCUUAACAGUUGGCAACCCAUUUAAUUAGAGCAGGUAGUUGUACUGCCCUCUAGUGGAAGAGAAUGUAAUUACUCUGCCUGUUACUAACGCUGGUCGCUUAGAGUACUAAUGAGGUGGAACCAGAUAAUCUUCCACGGCACGCCUGAUCAUUUCUCAGUGUUUGGGAAAGACUGGUGUAGCUGACCUGCUGAAGUUUAAACUGAGCAUCAGAAUUGGGAAGAAAGGUGGUGCCAGAUUUGCUGGUCUGAGUAUUUCAGAAUUUACUGGGAUUUUCCCCACACAAUCAUCUCUGGGGUUUACAGAGAAUGAUCUGAAAAGAGGGAAAAUAUCCAGUGAGUGGUAGAUCGCUGGGUGAAAACACCUUGUUGAUGUCAGAGGUCAGAGGAGAAUGGUCAGACUGCUUGUUACAAUCAAGGUAUGCAGAAGAGCAUCUCUGAAUGCACAACCCAUCAGACCUUGACGCAAAUGGGCUACGGCAGCAGAAGACCACACAGGCUUAGUAUAACGUAAGCAGAAGAUCACAUGUAGUUUAGUCUUCAGUUUCUUUCUAGGCUUGACUUCAGUGGUUUUCCUGCUGUUUAUGCUGGGGUAGUGUAGUUUUGGGUGUGUUUCUGCCUCAUUUCAUUCACUGCAGGGGUGACACACUCCUAACCUCAAUGUUUGACUUUGUUUGUCAACUCUCGAUUUAAUCCACUGAAUAAUACAUAAUGCCUGGCUUCAGAUUCUCCUCCCAUUGCUGUCAUCUCAUCUUCCACAACAGUUUGCUUUUCUCUUUUUUUGGCUUCUGGCCAUUACUCAUUAAACUAUCAACUAAACUUAUUUAAGGGUGUAUAACCUACAAAUGAGAUGCUUCUACUUUUUUAGAGUCAGCAACAUACAAGGAUCAAACUGUAGAAUUAUUCUAGAUGAAAAAUGUUUUUUGGGUGAGUAUGUCUGUGAAGGUUCUCAGUCAUCCAGGACCUGGAUGACUGAGUGAGUAUAGCUGAGCUGAAAGUGAGUAUAGCUGAGCUGAAAAUGUUAAGAUUUUCACUGGGAGUGACCAGAAUAGCCAGGAUCAGAAAUCAGUGCAUCAGCAGGACAGCUAAGGUUGAGUGGUUUGGAGACGAAGUUAGAGAGGCAAGGUAGAAAAAGUUUGGACAUGUGCAGAGGAGGGAUGGUGGAAAUAUUAGACAAAGGAUGUUGACAAGGAAGCUGCCAGGCAGGAGGAGAAGAUGACGACUACAGAGAAUAUUCAUGGAUGUAGUGAAGGAGGACAUGCAGAGGGUUGGUGUGACAGAAGAGGAUGCUAGGGACAGGAGGAGAUGGAGGCAGAUGAUUCUCUGUUGUGACCCCUGAGGGGAGCAAGAAGAAGAAAAAGAAGAAGAAAAGUUGCACAUGUAUUGUACAUGUCUAUCUAGCUUUUCUCAGUGAUACUGUGUAAAUUUCAAAUAAAUCCUUCAGAUUAAAUUUUUGCAUCUGAACACUUCAUACACAUACAUAGGCCUACAUUUUUGUAGUACUCUUAAACCUCAGUAUUCUCCAAAACCAAUAAUGUUUUAUUAAAAG